GCCCUCAUUGACUAUGAGAACUCAAACAAAGCUCUGGAUAAGGCCCGGUUGAAGAGCAAAGACGUCAAGUUGGCUGAGGCACACCAGCAGGAGUGCUGCCAGAAAUUUGAACAACUUUCCGAAUCUGCAAAAGAAGGAGUUCAACUUAAGAUUUUACCUAACUGAUAAAUUUCAAACGGAAGAGAGUGGCAGCAUUUAGAAAGAAUCUAAUUGAAAUGUCUGAACUGGAAAUAAAACAUGCCAGGAACAAUGUCUCCCUUUUGCAGAGCUGUAUUGACUUGUUCAAGAAUAACUGAUAUGCCUUCACUCAGAAGAAAAGAAAUGAAUGUGAAAGAAAGCCAAGCAUCACUUGCACUUAAAUCAUUACCACGGAAGAUAUAUUAGCUUCAACUUUAGUUUAAAAUUAUGUGAAUAAAUAUUUUGAUUUCUACAAAUCUUAACAUUUAACCAUGUUGGUUUAAAAAUAUUAUUGCUUGCUACUUGGACAUAACUAAAUUUUCCUUGUGCAUUUAAUACCUCUGGGCAGAAUCUAAAUACUGGGUUCUCCCGUAGUUCGUCUUUAGUUACUAAGAAAGGGUGUAGGAGACAUUUGCCUUCUGGAAACAAGUAGAAGCAAUCACCUGGCCCAUGUCCCUACAAACCCAUGAUUGUCAGGGAGGUGCCAGUUACAGCAGGUGAUUCAGCUACUUGAGGCCGGUAACAGACCUUCCAUUCCUCACUGAAGGUGGGGUUUGUGUUUUUGUUUUGCCCUGUUACUCCACUGGUAGUCCUCUGGUGUUUGUACUAUAACAACAGCAAGAAAAUCUCAUUUAUCUUUAU
rnacentral:sRNA from 1 species